GAGACACCAGUGUUGACAGAGAAGGGAGCUUAGAGGGGUAUUCGUGGCAGGGCAGGAUGUACGUCAUCUGAAGAGUAUUCUGGCUUACUGCGUCGUGGUUUUACACCGAUUGUGUCUAUGCCAAGUGUGGAUCAAGGCCUUGUGGUUUUCGUGGUGUGAGGAGUGAGGAAACCCAGUUGGCAUCAGCGAGGAGAGAACCAAAAGGCAAAGAUGGCAUUUGCCGGAAUGCCUGGUGGAAGGAUCCUUCCAAAGACCAUAUUUGGAUCGAAACGUGGAGCUGGGUUGGUGACGUGCAGGUGAUUGGUAGCUUUGACUCCAUUUUCAAGCAGGAAGAAAUGGCGGCUUGUCAGGGAUCAAAAGUUAGUGUGUGUAUACACUAAAAAACACGUACUGCAUUGGCCGCUUCUGCAGAAAGGAAGAAGGGAACUCUGUUAUUCAAAGGCAAGACUGAGUCACCAGAACUGAGGAACACCAGAGAGGAAAAACGCAAUUCUUCUUUCACCGCUGAGGACCACAGGAUCACGAGAAAGAAAGGUUAUGGACAGAUGGAUGGAGUGGAGAGACAGUGGGACUGUUAUUAAAGAGAAACAGGACAGGAAGAUGAUGUGACAGGCAGGGUAGCCACACCCUGAAGCAUACCCUGCUUUAUCAUCUAUUUUACUCAAAAUGGACUACAAAAUGAAGUUUAUGGUGUGUGGAAGAGGACUUGAAACUCACAACAUUUACUGAAGUAAUAAAUCAAGUGAGAAGCAGACUCAUUUUGCC